rnacentral:rRNA from 1 species
AUUGAACGCUGGCGGCAUGCUUUACACAUGCAAGUCGAACGGCAGCGCGGGCUUCGGCCUGGCGGCGAGUGGCGAACGGGUGAGUAAUGCAUCGGAACGUGCCCAGUAGUGGGGGAUAGCCCGGCGAAAGCCGGAUUAAUACCGCAUACGACCUGAGGGUGAAAGCGGGGGACCGAAAGGCCUCGCGCUAUUGGAGCGGCCGAUGUCGGAUUAGCUAGUUGGUGGGGUAAAGGCUUACCAAGGCGACGAUCCGUAGCUGGUCUGAGAGGACGACCAGCCACACUGGAACUGAGACACGGCCCAGACUCCUACGGGAGGCAGCAGUGGGGAAUUUUGGACAAUGGGGGCAACCCUGAUCCAGCCAUGCCGCGUGCGGGAAGAAGGCCUUCGGGUUGUAAAACGCUUUUGUUCGGGAAGAAAUACUCUGGGCUAAUACCCCGGGGGGAUGACGGUACCGGAAGAAUAAGCACCGGCUAACUACGUG